rnacentral:lncRNA from 1 species
AUGGCAGUUAUUUUUCUAUUGUUGGCAGUGUUGUUGUUGCUGUUGUUUUUUUACAGUUAUGAAUACUCAUGCUUAAAUGUACAGAAAAAGAAUGACUCCUUGUGCAACUUCUUACAAAAACAGGCUAGAAGGCAGAUCCAGCAAACAGCGCGUUCCUGCUCUGGCCAGUCUGAGAACCAGGAUGGUGGGGAGAAUCUGAACCAGUGCCUCAAACCAGCUAAUAAUGGUACUGUGAACCUGCUUGAGCUUUCUGACAAUGAAGAAAACCAAAAAGACUGGGCAAAGAAUGAAGCUCCUGUCUCCUGUGCUAGUGAAUUCAAAGACUGUAUGUAGGGAUUGCCCUCCUCCUUCCACUUUAGCAGCAGGCAACCUCUCCACUACAGCUGGAAGCCUCAAAGCAGCAGCACAAGUAAAACGUAAGCUAUUGUGAAAAACAAGUUCCUGGCUCUUGAUAAUCAGCUGGAUUUUUGCUCGGUUUAGCUUGCCCUGCUAGUUAGCUGUGAGAAUGGCAGUGACACAUUUGCAAAAGAACACAUGAUGUGCAUAGUAUGAUGUGUGAAAUAUGAUGAUAGGGUUACUAAACUGUGGUGUAAUGCAGACACUGGAAUCACUGCCACGGAGGCAGUUUUGAGAUGCACAGGUAAUACUAAAAGCAGGUUUUCAGCCCUCACUAAGAAUGAAGAAAUGGUGGACACUGGGAAGAAAAAAAAAAUUAAAAAAAUCCUGAUCUAUCAGAACUGAAUACUAUAGGUAACUCUCUUAUAUCAUAGAUGCUAGUUCUUUAACAAAAGAAACAGAAGCUGCUUAGGCCUUCUGCUGGGUCAAGUUUUAUAACUAUUUCCUACUCCUCUUUCUUAGGACAGAGAAUACUUGUUCUCCCUAGGGAAAAAGGACAACGGUACUGAAUUUUUUGCCUGAGUAGUUGUAAAUUGCUGCAAGGCAGGAAAUACAGUGUAGUUAAACGUAACAAAUCAUGUUGGAAACUUUCACUGUAGCCAAUUUUGGGCAAAGUUAUAAAUGAACUGCUAAUGUUUGUGACAUGCUGUCAGUUAUCUGGCAGGCAGGCAGGCAUGGAAAGCCGCACUAAAAUUCAGAGGAAGCCAAAAUGGGAGAUGAGUUACAAACUGAGGAUAACAGUCUCAGAGAUGGUUGUGGAAGUGAUGUGAAGUACCUUGGAGCUGAAAAGUUUGUAAACCGUGGCUAAAAGGCAUGCAAAAGAGGCC